UCCAGUGACGAUGGCAAAGAGGCCACACCCGUUCCCAUCCCGAACACGGAAGUUAAGCUCUUUUGCGCCGAUGGUAGUUGGGGGUUUCCCCCUGUGAGAGUAGGACGUCGCUGGGC
rnacentral:rRNA from 1 species